GAUGAACGCUGGCGGCGUGCUUAACACAUGCAAGUCGAACGAAGCACUUUAUUUGAUUUCCUUCGGGACUGAUUAUUUUGUGACUGAGUGGCGGACGGGUGAGUAACGCGUGGGUAACCUGCCUUGUACAGGGGGAUAACAGUUGGAAACGGCUGCUAAUACCGCAUAAGCGCACGGCAUCGCAUGAUGCAGUGUGAAAAACUCCGGUGGUAUAAGAUGGACCCGCGUUGGAUUAGCUAGUUGGUGAGGUAACGGCCCACCAAGGCGACGAUCCAUAGCCGACCUGAGAGGGUGACCGGCCACAUUGGGACUGAGACACGGCCCAAACUCCUACGGGAGGCAGCAGUGGGGAAUAUUGCACAAUGGGCGAAAGCCUGAUGCAGCGACGCCGCGUGAGCGAAGAAGUAUUUCGGUAUGUAAAGCUCUAUCAGCAGGGAAGAUAAUGACGGUACCUGACUAAGAA
rnacentral:rRNA from 1 species